rnacentral:rRNA from 1 species
UCCCCCAGAAUGGAACUGAGAUACGGUCCAUACACCUACGGGUGGCAGCAACCGGGAAUCUUGCGCAAUGGGCGAAAGCCUGACGCAGCGACACCGCGUGGAGGAUGAAGGCCUUCGGGUCGUAAACUCCUCUCUAAUAGUCCAUUGGAUUGUUAGUCAAAAAGCACCGGCUAACUACGUGCCAGCAGCUGCGGUAAUACGUAGGGUGCGAGCGUUGUCCGGAUUUACUGGGCGUAAAGAGUCUGUAGGCGGAUAAGUAGGUUAUUGGUUAAAGCCUCCGGCUCAACCGGAGAAAUGCUAAUAAUACCGUUUAUCUAGUCCUCGAGAGGGGGUGCUGGAACUUACUGUGUAGGGGUGAAAUCCGUUGAUACAGUAAGGAACACCAACGGCGAAGGCGGGCACCUGGAUCGAUGGAGACGCUGAGAGACGAAAGCUAGGGUAGCAAAUCGGAUUAGAGACCCGAGUAGUCCUAGCCCUAAAUGAUCCCUGCUAGAUGGUCGAUUUUGAUUCGUUCGGAUUGACUGUCGAAGGUAACCCAUUAAGCAGGGCGCCUGGGGAGUACGGUCGCAAGGCUGAAACUCAAAGGAAUUGGCGGGGAGGCGCACAACCAGUGGAGCAUGUGGUUUAAUUCGAUACAAAGCGAAGAACCUUACCUGGGUUUGACAUCCUUCCUUUUCCUGCUUUGGAAACAGAGCAAGGGGCUGUAUUUAUACAGCAAAGGUUGGACAGCUACUGCAUGGUUGUCGUCAGCUCGUGUCGUGAGAUGUUCCCUUAAGUGGGGUAACGAGCGCAACCCCUAUUCUGUGUUGGAUUUUCACAGGAGACGUUCUCGCCUCUUGCACACACUGCCCGUCAAAUGAGCAAAGCUGGGGGCAGCCGAAACCUCUCCUUUUUUAUAAAGGGGGGACUAAGCUGAACUUAGUGAUGAGCGUUAAGUCGUAAAAUUGUUGCGACCCAAGGAAGUAAUUCCUUGGAAAAAUCU